GCAACCCAAAAAUACUUAACUUGAAGCUACUUCAACCCGAGUAGACCUCUCGCUGGCUCAAUCCGCAGAGCACGAGACUCUUAAUCUCAGGGACAUGGGUUCAAACCCCACACUGGGCAACAAGUUUCCUGCAUCUCAGGGGUUUCGACUAGAACGACCCUCGUGGUGCUUUCCAACUCUAUGAUUCUACAUUAAUGGAAACUGGAUCAUCAACAAAUGAAGAAUGCUGAAGGAAUCCUACUACUACUUGCUGAAUAAUCCAGGGAGUCUCCCCAUCCUUCUGCGACUAGCUCCCUACUGGGAUCACUAGGCCUGUGCUGUAUUGGUUUAUUCGAAUAAAGAGUUAUCUUCACGGA